UACUAGAGUAGCACUCGCAUAUCAAUAAGCGGAGGAAAAGAAACUAACAAGGAUUCCCCUAGUAACGGCGAGUGAAGCGGGAAGAGCUCAAAUUUGAAAUCUUAAAGGGUUUCCCUUUACGAAUUGUAGUUUAAAGAAGUGUUUUCUGUUGAGGUUUUGGUAAAAGUUCUUUGGAAUAGGACAUCAUAGAGGGUGAGAAUCCCGUAUUUGACCUUUACUUUCAACUUUGUGAUACACUUUCAAAGAGUCGGAUUGUUUGGGAAUGCAGUCCAAAAUGGGUGGUAAAUUUCAUCUAAAGCUAAAUAUUGGCGAGAGACCGAUAGCGAACAAGUACCGUGAGGGAAAGAUGAAAAGAACUUUGAAAAGAGAGUUAAACAGUACGUGAAAUUGUCAAAAGGGAAGCGUUUGACACCAGUGUUGUUUUUCUGAAAAUCAAUUAAAGAACUGUUUAUGCUAAGCUGUUUAGACUUUAUCAGCUAAUCUGUUUAGUUUUGAGCUUUUCUUUAAUGCACUUUUCAGUUAACAAGUCAACAUCAAUUUCUUUUGCUGUAAAAAAGCUUGAGGAAGGUGGCUUGAGAUUCGUCUUAAGUGUUUAUAGCCUCUUGCCUAUGCAGUCGGAGAGAUUGAGGUCUGCAGCGUAGAUCCUUCGGGGCUAAAUGCAUUUGUGCUAAGUUAUAGCAUUUCAUAGACAACUUGUUGACUAUGAUUUGUCUUGUAGCUUACUCGCUUAUGUUAUUUUACCUACGCUUAGGAUGUUGAGUCAUCACACAUCUCU
rnacentral:rRNA from 1 species